CCAAGCCUCCUGCAGCGCGAUUACUAGGCGCGCAGAGAGGAAAAAGAAGGCUGUGUUUUUCUCUGGUGUCCCCGCGUGAUGGGUAGGAGCUCAAUGGCAAACGUCGCUAGUCCUGGAAACAGGCAAGGAAAGAGGAAAAGAAUCCAUUCACUACACCAAAUUCAGGAUGAAGAUUCUGCCCGUAGAGCGCUCCUGACCACCUUUUCUUUGGUGCUGCCUGAUUCAAAUCAAGGAAAAGAAGAAAUUCAGAGUGAGAAGCCUGGAAGACACCAUCUUAUUCAAGUGAUCACAAUUAACAUCAUCCAUAAUCGGACAAAUUGAAGUCACCUAUCAUCUGUUAUGAUACAAUAAGGACACAGCAUCACUUCUGUGAUAUUUCAUGAUAUACAGAAUCCACAACUUGCAUCUAAUCUAUGAUGCAUGGUCUGAACCUAAUUGAGAGGAAACAUCAGACAAACCUAAACUGAGGGACAUUCCCCAAAGCAACUGCCCUGCCUCUUCAAAAGAGUCCAGGUCACGAGAGCAAAACAAAGACUGGGGAAUGUUCCAGACUGAAGGAGACUCAAGAGACAGGACCAUUACAUGCAACAUGAG